rnacentral:rRNA from 1 species
UACGUAGGGUGCAAGCGUUAUCCGGAAUUAUUGGGCGUAAAGAGCUCGUAGGCGGUUUGUUGCGUCUGCUGUGAAAACUGGGGGCUCAACCCCCAGCCUGCAGUGGGUACGGGCAGACUAGAGUGCGGUAGGGGAGAUUGGAAUUCCUGGUGUAGCGGUGGAAUGCGCAGAUAUCAGGAGGACACCGAUGGCGAAGGCAGAUCUCUGGGCCGUAACUGACGCUGAGGAGCGAAAGCAUGGGGAGCGAACAGG